rnacentral:SRP_RNA from 1 species
GCCGGGCGUAGUGGCGCACACCUGUAAUUCCAGCUACUCAGGAGGCCGAGGCAGGAGAAUUGCUUGAACCUGGGAGGCGGAGGUUGCAGUGAGCCAAGAUCGUGCCAUUGCACUCCAGUCUGGGUGACAAAGCGAGACUCUGUCUCAAAAAAAAUUAAAAAAAAAAAAAGAAAUACCACAAUAGUUUUUGUUUUUGUUUUUGUUUUAAGACAGUCUCUUGCUCUGUCACCUAGUCAGGAGUGGAAUGGUGCAAUCUCGGCUCACUGCAAUCUCUGCCUCCCGGGUUCCAGUGAUUCUCCUGCCUCAG